UACAGAGGUCCCGAGCGUUGUUCGGAUUCACUGGGCGUAAAGGGUGCGUAGGUGGUGAGGUAAGUCGGAUGUGAAAUCUCCGAGCUCAACUCGGAAAUGGCAUUGGAAACUACUUUGCUCGAGGGUUGGAGGGGGGACUGGAAUGCUUGGUGUAGCAGUGAAAUGCGUAGAUAUCAAGCGGAACACCAGUGGCGAAGGCGAGUCCCUGGACAACUCCUGACACUGAGGCACGAAAGCUAGGGGAGCAAACAGG
rnacentral:rRNA from 1 species